rnacentral:pre_miRNA from 1 species
AUAUAGGGCAAUCUGGGUUUAACUAAGGAUAUACUACUUUUUAACAAAAUGAUAAUUUCCUCUUCAAGUCAAGUGUCUUGU